AGCUAUGAUGUUUGUAAUUUGCGUCAGAUAACAAGUAAGGUGACAGUUGCCUUCUGUCAUAUGCCUUCUUGUUUAACUGAUGAAGACAUUUUUACUGAGCA